GCGAUGAAGCUACCUUCGGGUAGUGGAAUAGCGGCGGCACGGGUGAGUAACACGUGGGUAACCUGCCUCAAAGAGGGGGAUAGCCCUCCGAAAGGAGGAGUAAUACCGCAUAACAUAUAUUUCUCGCAUGAGAGAUAUAUCAAGAUUUAUCGCUUUGAGAUGGACCCGCSGUCGCAUUASCUAGUUGGYGAGGUAAAGCGCUCACCAAGGCGACGAUGCGUASCCGACCUGAGAGGGUGAUCGGCCACAUUGGGACMUGAGACACGGCCCAGACUCCUACGGGAGGCAGCAGUGGGGAAUAUYGCGCAAUGGGGGAAACCCUUGACGCAGCAACGCCGCCGUGGGUGAAGAAGGUUUUCGGAUUGUAAAGCCCUGUUCUAUAGGACGAUAAUGACGGUACUAUACGAGAAAGCCACCGCUAACUAC
rnacentral:rRNA from 1 species